rnacentral:piRNA from 1 species
UGGCAGCCUCCUUAUUUCUCUAAGUACCA